GUCAGUGCACUCUGGGGGCGUGUGAGGGGAGGGGUGUCAGGGUCAGUGCACACUGGGGUCAUGUGAGGGGAGGGGGAUCAGGGUCAGUGCACACUGGGGUCGUGUGAGGGGAAGGGGGUCAGAGUCAGUGCACGCUGGGGGUGUGUGAGGGGAGGGGUGUCAGGGUCAGUGCACACUGGGGUCGUGUGAGGGGAGGGGGAUCAGGGUCAGUGCACACUGGGGUCGUGUGAGGGGAAGGGGGUCAGAGUCAGUGCACGCUGGGGGUGUGUGAGGGGAGGGGGCCCAGGGUCAGUGCACACUGGGGGUGUGUGGUCAGUGCACACUGGGGGUGUGUGAGAGGAGGAGGCUCAGGGUCAGUGCACUCUGGGGGCGUGUGAGGGGAGGGGUGUCAGGGUCAGUGCACACUGGGGUCAUGUGAGGGGAGGGGUGUCAGGGUCAGUGCACGCGGGGGGGGGUGAGGGGAGAGGGAUCAGGGUCAGUGCACACUGGGGUCGUGUGAGGAGAGGGGUGUCAGGGUCAGUGCACGCUGGGGGUGUGUGAGGGGAGGGGGCCCAGGGUCAGUGCACUCUGGGGGUGUGUGAGGAGAGGGGUGUCAGGGUCAGUGCACGCGGGGGGGGGUGAGGGGAGGGGUGUCAGGGUCAGUGCACACUGGGGUCGUGUGAGGGGAAGGGGGUCAGAGUCAGUGCACGCUGGGGGUGUGUGAGGGGAGGGGGCCCAGGGUCAGUGCACACUG